AGCGAACGUUAGCGGCGGGCCUAACACAUGCAAGUCGAACGCGAAAGGUCUUCGGACUGAGUAGAGUGGCGCACGGGUGAGUAACACGUAGGUAAUCUACCCUUUGGCGGGGGAUAACGUUCCGAAAGGAGCGCUAAUACCGCAUAAGACCACGGAGUCUCCGGACGCUGUGGGAAAAGGUGGCCUCUUCUUGAAAGCUACCACCGAAGGAUGAGCCUGCGUCCCAUCAGCUAGUUGGUAAGGUAAUGGCUUACCAAGGCGAAGACGGGUAGCUGGUUUGAGAGAAUGAUCAGCCACACUGGCACUGGAACACGGGCCAGACUCCUACGGGAGGCAGCAGUGAGGAAUAUUGGACAAUGGACGGAAGUCUGAUCCAGCCAUGCCGCGUGAAGGAAGAAGGCGCUCAGCGUUGUAAACUUCUUUUGGAUGGGAAUAAUAAUGUCGACGUGCUCGGCACUUGAAGGUACCAUCAGAAUAAGCACCGGCUAACUCCGUGCCAG
rnacentral:rRNA from 1 species